rnacentral:lncRNA from 10 species
AGCAGAGGAAGCUGUUUGCGGGGAAAAAGGGCCAGAGAAGCAGGGGUUCCCUGUACGUACCCCUUUCCCUCCAGCACUGGAGCCCGAGUCUCCCGCUGAGCAGGCACCUCUCCCUCCACGCCCAGGCUUCUUAAACCAACCCCUCCUCCCCUUGUCAUUCAUGAACCAGAUGCAGAAACUGAGGCUCAGAAGCGUUCGGCCACGUGCAUGCAUUGCCUUUCCCAUUGGUGCUCCAUCGCCAGUAAUGGAUAAGUAAUAAGUAAUAAGGUGAUUCUGACUCUCCUGGAACCUGAGAACCACCAGUCUACGGGAACAGAGCCCUGCUUUGGGUCAGACGGGGUUUCGCCGGGCUGGUCUCCGCUCCUGACCGCGAGUGAUCCGCCGGCCUCGGCCUCCCGAGGUGCCGGGAUUGCAGAUGGAGUCUCGUUCACUCGGUGCUCAAUGGUGCCCAGGCUGGAGUGCAGUGGCGUGAUCUCGGCUCGCUACAACCACCUCCCAGCCGCCUGCCUUGGCCUCCCGAAGAGCCGAGAUUGCAGCCUCUGCCCGGCCGCCACCCCGUCUGGGAAGUGAGGAGCGUCUCUGCUUGGCCGCCCAUCGUCUGGGAUAUGAGGAGCCCCUCUGCCUGGCUGCCCAGUCUGGAGGGUGAGGAGUGUCUCUGCCCGGCCGCCAUCCCAUCUAGGAAGCGAGGAGCGCCUCUUCCCCGCCGCCAUCCCAUCUAGGAAGUGAGGAGCGUCUCUGCCCGGCCGCCCAUCGUCUGAGAUGUGGGGAGCGCCUCUGCCCCGCCGCCCUGUCUGGGAUGUGAGGAGCGCCUCUGCUGGGCCGCAACCCUGUCUGGGAGGUGAGGAGCGUCUCUGCCCGGCCGCUCCGUCUGAGAAGUGAGGAAACCCUCUGCCUGGCAACCGCCCCGUCUGAGAAGUGAGGAGCCCCUCCGUCCGGCAACCACCCUGUCUGGGAAGUGAGGAGCGUCUCCGCCCGGCAGCCACCCCGUCCGGGAGGGAGGUGGGGGGGGUCAGCCCCCCGCCCGGCCAGCCGCCCCGUCCGGGAGGUGAGGGGCUCCUCUGCCCGGCCGCCCCUACUGGGAAGUGAGGAGCCCCUCUGCCCGGCCAGUCGCCCCGUCCAGGAGGGAGGUGAGGGGGUCAGCCCCCCGCCCGGCCAGCCGCCCCGUCCGGAAGGGGGGGGGGGUCAGCCCCCC